rnacentral:lncRNA from 1 species
AUUCUUCUAAGCAUCAAUGUAGUCAAGGUCAAAGUAAAAGUUGGCUCAAAAGAUCAAAAGGGUAGGAAACUAGGGUUUACAAACCACACAAACUUAUAUGCUUAAGGUAAAAGCCAAAUGAUCAACUUAAAAUUUCCAACAAUUGAAAAUAAGUUGACAUACCAAUUAAGCAUCCAAAUGAUCAUAACAUACCCAAAACUAAGCCUUAAAUUAUGUCCACAAGCUUCAAAAUGAAGUUGGGUUAAAUUAC